rnacentral:rRNA from 1 species
UAGUCCACGCCGUAAACGAUGAGUGCUAGAUGUUAGAAGGCUUAGCCUUUUAGUGUCGCAGCUAACGCAUUAAGCACUCCGCCUGGGGAGUACGGUCGCAAGAUUAAAACUCAAAGGAAUUGACGGGGGCCCGCACAAGCGGUGGAGCAUGUGGUUUAAAUCGAUAAUACGCGCGAAAUCUUACCAAUUUUUGUAUUUUAUAACAGGUGUUGCAUGGCUGUCGUCAGUCCGUGUCGUGAGAUGUUAGGUUAAGUCCCGCAACGAGCGCAACCCUUGUCUUUAGUUGCCAUCAUUAAGUUGGGCACUUUAAAGAGACUGCCGGUGACAAACCGGAGGAAGGUAAGGAUGACGUCAAGUCAGCAUGCCCCUUAUGCUCUGGGCUACACACGUGCUACAAUGGCCGUGACAAAGAGUUGCUACUUUGUGAAAACAAGCUAAUCUCAUAAACGCGGCCUCAGUUCGGAUUGCAGGCUGAAACUCGCCUGCAUGAAGGUGGAAUCGCUAGU